rnacentral:rRNA from 1 species
GACGAACGCUGGCGGCGUGCCUAAUACAUGCAAGUAGAACGCACAGUUUAUACCGUAGCUUGCUACACCAUAGACUGUGAGUUGUGAACGGGUGAGUAACGCGUAGGUAACCUGCCUGGUAGCGGGGGAUAACUAUUGGAAACGAUAGCUAAUACCGCAUAAUAUUAAUUAUUGCAUGAUAAUUAAUUGAAAGGUGCAAUUGCACCACUACCAGAUGGACCUGCGUUGUAUUAGCUAGUAGGGGAGGUAACGGCUCACCCAGGCGACGAUACAUAGCCGACCUGGUAGGGUGAUCGGCCACACUGGGACUGCGACACGGCCCAGACUCCUGCGGGAGGCAGCAGUAGGGAAUCUUCGGCAAUGGACGAAAGUCUGACCGAGCAACGCCGCGUGAGUGAAGAAGGUUUUCGGAUCGUGAAGCUCUGUUGUAAGAGAAGAACGGGUGUGGGAGUGGAAAGUUCACACUGUGACGGUAUCUUACCAGAAAGGGACGGCUAACUACGUG